rnacentral:lncRNA from 1 species
ACUGUAGCCAACAUACACAGCAAGGGUCUGAAUGGUUAGAGACCAAAAGAACAAACAAUCAAAUUUAGUAGCCUCACGAUAAAUAGCAGAUGACACCGCAGGUCAAAAGAUCACUCAUACUACUACAGCAAUGAGAUAACUACAGACAAGUGAGUAGACAUCCAAGUGGUUUCUCGUGUUGGUCAUGCUCAGUGCAAGUUGUUCUUUAAUAACCACCUAUACUCUUACCUCAGUGUCCCUGCACUAC